ACAACAAAAGAAAAGAAAAAUGAAGCCCUCAUAGCAAAUAUGCAUAGUCAAGAGAAGUAUGUGUCUUUCUGCACUUUAAAUCUAUCCCGGUGAGGAGCUCUCCUCCCAUCCCCUCCCAGAGAGCCAUCCUUUAUGACAAAAGAAUUUAAAAAGAAGAAAAAAACCGAUUCAUCAAAAUUAACCAGCACAAAGAAAAAGUCUUACAUCUGUGAUGUUCCACACCCAUGGUCUCCUGCUUCUACAAAGAAGAGAGGGAGGUGUCUUCUCACCUGCUUCCGGGCCAAGUUAGUGUAUCUGAAGAGAUGCCUCCAACUCAGCAGAAAAGAGAAACCAUAGUGCAAAGGAAGAAGCUCCAUUGUAGGACAACUUCUUAGAAGACAACAGCUUUGUUAUAGAUCAAAACACUCCUUGCAAAAACUAUCUGCAACUAACAAAAUUAAUUGGUUUAUAAAAUACUAGCUUUUAUUUCCAACUAAUAAUUCCCAUAUAUCUCUUAAUGUGCUCACAAAUAGUUGACAGGAAAUAAAAUCAGAGUUUAUUAGUUCAAAUUCUCUGAGACCCCCUGAUUCAUUCUUUUUCAUGAUGUAGUCUUUAAACUUUUUUUUUAUGACUUUAAUCUUAAAAGAUUGAUUUUUAAUUAAAUUCAGAGCAAUUGUUCCCUUUUAGGGGAGAUGGGGGAAACCAAUACAACUUAUACUUGAGACCUCUGAGCCUGACA